AGUUAUCACAUAUUUGAUUCAAAAUGUGGCCCAUCUUUUGUUUGUCAUAUAUGGUGGGUUCCCUGAUACAUGGAGUGGUUCCUCGAUGCUAUUGCUUUUUAACAUCUUUGUCCAGCUAUAAAGCUUUCUAUAUCAUCUGGUGUCAUCUUCUUUGGAUAUUUUAAACAGCGUCACUAUUAUUAAAAAAAAAAUAGUUAUUUUUCUGUACAAGUAUUAAUCCAAUAGUAUGAAAAACUAAUUUGAAUGUUUUUGAUUUGGUUGCUUGACAAGUGCAGCUUGGAAUUGUGCUUAAGCAUUAUCGGGUGGCAGAUGAUGAUAUCUCUUUGUUUCUUGGCAGCAACAAGUGUGUGGGUGUCCAAUGAACUCGGUAGAUGCAUAUCGAAAGGAGUGAAAUUUGCAAUGGCGGUGCGACACUUACAUCAUUGGUUGUGUUGUUUGUGUUUUCCUGUUUUACAAAAGAUAAUUUUCCUACAUAUGUAGGAUGGAUAAAGCCGUAGCAACAAAAGCUGAUAGAUACCUUGUCACCUUUUCUUGCUUUCUCUGUACUUCUUAACAACAAUGUUUAAGUAACAUUGGUGAAAU